rnacentral:rRNA from 1 species
UUACUGGGCGUAAAGCGAGCGCAGACGGUUACUUAAGCAGGAUGUGAAAUCCCCGGGCUCAACCUGGGAACUGCGUUCUGAACUGGGUGACUAGAGUGUGUCAGAGGGAGGUAGAAUUCCACGUGUAGCAGUGAAAUGCGUAGAGAUGUGGAGGAAUACCGAUGGCGAAGGCAGCCUCCUGGGAUAACACUGACGUUCAUGCUCGAAAGCGUGGGUAGCAAACAGGAUUAGAUACCCUGGUAGUCCACGCCCUAAACGAUGUCAAUUAGCUGUUGGGCAACUUGAUUGCUUAGUAGCGUAGCUAACGCGUGAAAUUGACCGCCUGGGGAGUACGGUCGCAAGAUUAAAACUCAAAGGAAUUGACGGGGACCCGCACAAGCGGUGGAUGAUGUGGAUUAAUUCGAUGCAACGCGAAGAACCUUACCUGGUCUUGACAUGUACGGAAUCCUCCAGAGAGGGAGGAGUGCCUUCGGGAGCCGUAACACAGGUGCUGCAUGGCUGUCGUCAGCUCGUGUCGUGAGAAG